rnacentral:rRNA from 1 species
GGCGGACGGGUGAGUAACGCGUGGGGAACCUGCCCUAUACAGGGGGAUAACAGCUGGAAACGGCUGCUAAUACCGCAUAAGCGCACAGAAUCGCAUGAUUCAGUGUGAAAAGCCCUGGCAGUAUAGGAUGGUCCCGCGUCUGAUUAGCUGGUUGGUGAGGUAACGGCUCACCAAGGCGACGAUCAGUAGCCGGCUUGAGAGAGUGAACGGCCACAUUGGGACUGAGACACGGCCCAAACUCCUACGGGAGGCAGCAGUGGGGAAUAUUGCACAAUGGGGGAAACCCUGAUGCAGCGACGCCGCGUGAGUGAAGAAGUAUUUCGGUAUGUAAAGCUCUAUCAGCAGGGAAGAAAACAGACGGUACCUGACUAAGAAGCCCCGGCUAACUACGUGCCAGCAGCCGCGGUAAUACGUAGGGGGCAAGCGUUAUCCGGAAUUACUGGGUGUAAAGGGUGCGUAGGUGGCAUGGUAAGUCAGAAGUGAAAGCCCGGGGCUUAACCCCGGGACUGCUUUUGAAACUGUCAUGCUGGAGUGCAGGAGAGGUAAGCGGAAUUCCUAGUGUAGCGGUGAAAAUGCGUAGAUAUUAGGAGGAACACCAGUGGCGAAGGCGGCUUACUGGACUGUCACUGACACUGAUGC